rnacentral:rRNA from 2 species
CGAGUUCUCGUUGAUGAUCGGUGCUUGCACCGAGAUUCAACAUGGAACGAGUGGCGGACGGGUGAGUAACACGUGGGUAACCUGCCCUUAAGUGGGGGAUAACAUUUGGAAACAGAUGCUAAUACCGCAUAGAUCCAAGAACCGCAUGGUUCUUGGCUGAAAGAUGGCGUAAGCUAUCGCUUUUGGAUGGACCCGCGGCGUAUUAGCUAGUUGGUGAGGUAAUGGCUCACCAAGGCGAUGAUACGUAGCCGAACUGAGAGGUUGAUCGGCCACAUUGGGACUGAGACACGGCCCAAACUCCUACGGGAGGCAGCAGUAGGGAAUCUUCCACAAUGGACGCAAGUCUGAUGGAGCAACGCCGCGUGAGUGAAGAAGGCUUUCGGGUCGUAAAACUCUGUUGUUGGAGAAGAAUGGUCGGCAGAGUAACUGUUGUCGGCGUGACGGUAUCCAACCAGAAAGCCACGGCUAACUACGUGCCAGCAGCCGCGGUAAUACGUAGGUGGCAAGCGUUAUCCGGAUUUAUUGGGCGUAAAGCGAGCGCAGGCGGU